rnacentral:rRNA from 1 species
UGGGGAAUUUUGGACAAUGGGCGCAAGCCUGAUCCAGCCAUGCCGCGUGAGUGAAGAAGGCCUUCGGGUUGUAAAGCUCUUUCGGCUGGGAAGAAAUCGCACUCUCUAAUACAGGGUGUGGAUGACGGUACCAGCAUAAGAAGCACCGGCUAACUACGUGCCAGCAGCCGCGGUAAUACGUAGGGUGCGAGCGUUAUUCGGAAUUACUGGGCGUAAAGCGUGCGCAGGCGGUUGUGUAAGACAGACAUGAAAUCCCCGGGCUCAACCUGGGAACUGCGUUUGNGACUGCACGGCUAGAGUACGGCAGAGGGGGGUGGAAUUCCACGUGUAGCAGUGAAAUGCGUAGAGAUGUGGAGGAACACCGAGGGCGAAGGCAGCCCCCUGGGCCAGUACUGACGCUCAUGCACGAAAGCGUGGGGAGCAAACA